rnacentral:rRNA from 1 species
ACGGGUAACGGGGAAUUAGGGUUCGAUUCCGGAGAGGGAGCCUGAGAAACGGCUACCACAUCUAAGGAAGGCAGCAGGCGCGCAAAUUACCCAAUCCUAAUACAGGGAGGUAGUGACAAGAAAUAACAAUACAGGACUUUUUGGUUUUGUAAUUGGAAUGAGUUAAGUAUAAACCCCUUUACAAGUAUCAAUUGGAGGGCAAGUCUGGUGCCAGCAGCCGCGGUAAUUCCAGCUCCAAUAGCGUAUAUUAAAGUUGUUGCAGUUAAAAAGCUCGUAGUUGGAUUUCUGUUAAUAAUUUAUAUAAAAUAUUUUGAUGAAUAUUUAUAUAAUAUUAACAUAAUUCAUAUUACUAUAUAUUUUAGUAUAUGAAAUUUUACUUUGAGAAAAUUAGAGUGCUUAAAGCAGGCAUAUGCCUUGAAUACUCCAGCAUGGAAUAAUAUUAAAGAUUUUUAUCUUUCUUAUUGGUUCUAAGAUAAGAAUAAUGAUUAAUAGGGACAGUUGGGGGCAUUUGUAUUUAA